GACGAACGCUGGCGGCGUGCUUAACACAUGCAAGUCGAACGCUGAAGCUCAGCUUGCUGGGUGGAUGAGUGGCGAACGGGUGAGUAACACGUGAGUAACCUGCCCUCUUCUUUGGGAUAACGCCCGGAAACGGGUGCUAAUACUGGAUAUUCACUGAUUCUCGCAUGGGGGUUGGUGGAAAGGUUUUUUCUGGUGGGGGAUGGGCUCGCGGCCUAUCAGCUUGUUGGUGGGGUGAUGGCCUACCAAGGCUUUGACGGGUAGCCGGCGUGAGAGGGUGACCGGUGACAUUGGGACUGAGAUACGGCCCAGACUCCUACGGGAGGCAGCAGUGGGGAAUAUUGCACAAUGGGCGAAAGCCUGAUGCAGCGACGCCGCGUGAGGGAUGGAGGCCUUCGGGUUGUAAACCUCUUUCGCUCAUGGUCAAGCCGCAGCUUUGGGUUGUGGUGAGGGUAGUGGGUAAAGAAGCGCCGGCUAACUACGUG
rnacentral:rRNA from 1 species